GAUGAACGCUGGCGGCGUGCCUAAUACAUGCAAGUCGAGCGAACGGACGAGAAGCUUGCUUCUCUGAUGUUAGCGGCGGACGGGUGAGUAACACGUGGAUAACCUACCUAUAAGACUGGGAUAACUUCGGGAAACCGGAGCUAAUACCGGAUAAUAUUUUGAACCGCAUGGUUCAAAAGUAAAAGACGGUCUUGCUGUCACUUAUAGAUGGAUCCGCGCUGCAUUAGCUAGUUGGUAAGGUAACGGCUUACCAAGGCAACGAUGCAUAGCCGACCUGAGAGGGUGAUCGGCCACACUGGAACUGAGCCACGGUCCAGACUCCUACGGGAGGCAGCAGUAGGGAAUCUUCCGCAAAGGGCGAAAGCCUGACGGAGCAACGCCGCGUGAGUGAUGAAGGUCUUCGGAUCGUAAAACUCUGUUAUUAGGGAAGAACAUAUGUGUAAGUAACUGUGCACAUCUUGACGGUACCUAAUCAGAAAGCCACGGCUAACUACGUG
rnacentral:rRNA from 1 species